AUGUUGGAGAAAUACUCUUUGAAGAAACAUCCUGUCUUGACGCAGAUAUAUGAGGUCAGGCAUAAAUGGGCGAAGCCGUACUUUAGAGGGGUGUUCUGUGCCAGGAUGACAAGCACUCAACGGAGCGAGAGCGCCAACCAUCUGUUGAAAGGUUACGUGCCGCCAGGGUGCCCAAUGCAUCUAUUUCUUAAGCAGUUUCAGAAACUGCAAUUUGACAGAGAGGCGGAGGAGAGUUUCCAGGAGAAGAGGACGUCCCUGAGCUUUGUGUGCCUCCGGGUCAAUCUUCCAAUUGAGAGGCAUGCUAGCAAAGUUUACACAAGAGCUAUGUUCGAAAAGUUUGGUGAAGAAUUGUAUAAGUGUGGGGCGCAUGUGUUGGAUGAGGUGGUGCCUAGGAGGGUUUAUAAGUCGACCCAUGUAGAAGCGGAAAAAAGGGAGAAAUGGAGCAAAGUUGAAUUCAAGAUAGAAGUGGAUGAAGACGAGAGUUUUUUCAGUUGCAAGUGCGGUUAUUUUGAACAUGCUGGGAUAGUGUGUUGCCAUGCAUUGCAGGUGAUGGUGCACUUCCGAUUGCAGAAAAUACCACAGAAGCAUAUACUUAAACGAUGGACGAGAGAGGCGCGUGACAUUCUUCCUGACCAUUUGGUGAGGUAUCAGAGAGACAGAGGACCACCAGCUAGUGACACAUUCAGACACCACACAAUGUACAUGAAAGCGCUUGAAUGUGUCGUGCUUGGAGACAGCAAUAUUAAGUGCUACGAUGUUUUCAUGGCUAUGAUGAAAGAGGUACAUGCGACUCUGCUUCCGCUAAGCAUUGAUAAAGAUGGAAUGGGGCUUGCAGAGAGAGAAAAACAGCAGCAGAAUGCAGCACAGAAGGGCCAUGCACCAACGGAGGGCGAUACUGUGAUGCAAAAACUUACCGGAAACGGUGAAUCCAGUUGCUCUGCUAUUGGCCUGAAUGAGAAGAAGAGGCAGAGGGGGAGGCCGACAAACUGCAGGGACAAGGCUCCGUAUGAGCAGCAAGUUAAGAGGUCGCGGUUUUGCACUAUCUGCAGAGAGCAGGGGCACAAGUGUACAACUUGUCCCCAGCGAGGCAAUUUGCCGAAAGCUCCAAGGAAGUCGCCGAAAUGCACGAACUGUGGUGUCGUUGGACAUCGGCGCAAUACUUGCGGCACUAAGAAAGCAGGCCCAUUUGAGCCGAACCUCCUGUAG
rnacentral:rRNA from 1 species